rnacentral:rRNA from 1 species
UACGAAGGGGGCUAGCGUUGCUCGGAAUCACUGGGCGUAAAGGGCGCGUAGGCGGCCGAUUAAGUCGGGGGUGAAAGCCUGUGGCUCAACCACAGAAUUGCCUUCGAUACUGGUUGGCUUGAGACCGGAAGAGGACAGCGGAACGUGCGAAGUGUAGAGGUGAAAUUCGUAGAUAUUCGCAAGAACACCAGUGGCGAAGGCGGCUGUCUGGUCCGGUUCUGACGCUCAUGCACGAAAGCGUGGGGAGCAAACAGG